rnacentral:rRNA from 1 species
UUAGAAGUUUAGUCUGGCUCAGGAUGAACGCUGGCGGCGUGCCUAACACAUGCAAGUCGAACGGGAAUCUUCGGAUUCUAGUGGCGGACGGGUGAGUAACGCGUAAGAAUCUAACUUCAGGACGGGGACAACAGUUGGAAACGACUGCUAAUACCCGAUGUGCCGCAAGGUGAAAACUAAUUGGCCUGAAGAAGAGCUUGCGUCUGAUUAGCUAGUUGGUGGGGUAAGAGCCUACCAAGGCGACGAUCAGUAGCUGGUCUGAGAGGAUGAGCAGCCACACUGGGACUGAGACACGGCCCAGACUCCUACGGGAGGCAGCAGUGGGGAAUUUUCCGCAAUGGGCGAAAGCCUGACGGAGCAACGCCGCGUGAGGGAGGAAGGUCUUUGGAUUGUAAACCUCUUUUCUCAAGGAAGAAGUUCUGACGGUACUUGAGGAAUCAGCCUCGGCUAACUCCGUGCCAGCAGCCGCGGUAAUACGGGGGAGGCAAGCGUUAUCCGGAAUUAUUGGGCGUAAAGCGUCCGCAGGUGGUCAGCCAAGUCUGCCGUCAAAUCAGGUUGCUUAACGACCUAAAGGCGGUGGAAACUGGCAGACUAGAGAGCAGUAGGGGUAGCAGGAAUUCCCAGUGUAGCGGUGAAAUGCGUAGAGAUUGGGAAGAACAUCGGUGGCGAAAGCGUGCUACUGGGCUGUAUCUGACACUCAGGGACGAAAGCUAGGGGAGCGAAAGGGAUUAGAUACCCCUGUAGUCCUAGCCGUAAACGAUGGAUACUAGGCGUGGCUUGUAUCGACCCGAGCGGGGCCCAAACACA